CCCCUAGAUGUUCUGGGCCGCACGCGCGCUACACUGAACAGUUCAACAAGUCUUAACCUUGGCCGAUAGGUCUGGGUAAUCUUUGAACGCUGUUCGUGAUUGGGAUAGACCUUUGCAAUUAUGGGUCUUCAACGAGGAAUUCCUAGUAAACGCAAGUCAUCAGCUUGCAUUGAUUACGUCCCUGCCCUUUGUACACACCGCCCGUCGCUCCUACCGAUUGAGCAAACCGGUGAAUAGUUUGGACCGUCGGCUUUCUCGGUUCGCCGGGUUAGCAGUACGGAAAAUUCAGUGAACCUUUUUGCUUAGAGGAAGGAGAAGUCGUAAC
rnacentral:rRNA from 1 species